rnacentral:ncRNA from 2 species
CACUAUCUUGGGGCCGUCGGUCCCGGGCGCCACAACCGCUUGGGUUAAUAGGGAAGCCGGUGCGAUUCCGGCGCUGCCCCGCAGCGGUAUGUGGAAACGAACGCCGUCACACGCACUGGGAGCGCGCUCCCGGGAAGCGACGGCCAGUAGGCGGAAUGGGAACGCAUGUUCCCACCAUGUCCACGAGCCCGAAGACCUGCCGACAGCCGCGCGGUUCC